UCCUGCAAGUCCGCAGCUGAAAAAGGGCCGAGUGAAGCUCGACCACGUUCUCGAACUCUCCUCGAAUACAAGCGUAUCCAAACUUCCCACCGAGCUCGUAGGCAGAGAAGCUCGGAUCGUAGAGUUCGGUGGAGCUCUCCCCCAGGAAGAUUCCAUAGCUACGCCCCUCUCAAUGCUCUAAAAACUCAAGUGCUAAUGGAGAUCAGGGAGCAGCUGCCA
rnacentral:lncRNA from 1 species